GGUUUUUAUCCAUUUUAAUUUUUUUUAAUUUUAUUAUUUUGUGUAUUUUAUUGUUUUUUUCUUCAAAAUAGUUAAUGUUCAAAAUUUGUCUAUUCUUUGUGUAUAUAAGGAGUUGGUCGAUUGUUAGGACUACUUCCUAAUGUUAGUAAAAAAAAUUACUAAUGGUUGGUAUGCACCGCAUGAUUUUUAUCAUAUUCGAUUUUGAGUAUAAGUUAAGUUGGUUUAUCGUUGCUCCA
rnacentral:lncRNA from 1 species